UACAGGGGGGGCAAGCGUUGUUCGGAAUUACUGGGCGUAAAGGGCUCGUAGGUGGCCAACUAAGUCAGACGUGAAAUCCCUCAGCUUAACUGGGGAACUGCGUCUGAUACUGGAUGGCUUGAGUUUGGGAGAGGGAUGCGGAAUUCCAGGUGUAGCGGUGAAAUGCGUAGAUAUCUGGAGGAACACCGGUGGCGAAGGCGGCAUCCUGGACCAACACUGACACUGAGGCGCGAAAGCUAGGGGAGCAAACGGG
rnacentral:rRNA from 1 species